GAGUUUGAUCCUGGCUCAGGAUGAAUGCUGGCGGCGCGCCUAACACAUGCAAGUCGAGCGGUAACAGGAGUAAUUUAUUACUUGCUGACGAGCGGCGGACGGCUGAGUAACGCGUAGGAACAUGCCCCAAAGUGAGGAAUAAGCUCCAGAAAUGGAGUCUAAUGCCGCAUAUGAUCUUCGGAUUAAAGGAUUUAUCCGCUUUGGGAGUGGCCUGCGUACGAUUAGAUAGUUGGUGAGGUAAUGGCUCACCAAGUCUACGAUCGUUAACUGUUCUGAGAGGAUGAUCAGUCAGACUGGAACUGAGACACGGUCCAGACUCCUACGGGAGGCAGCAGUGAGGAAUCUUCCACAAUGGGCGAAAGCCUGAUGGAGCGACGCCGCGUGCAGGAUGAAGGCCUUCGGGUUGUAAACUGCUUUUAUAAGUGAAGAAUAUGACGGUAACUUAUGAAUAAGCACCGGCUAACUACGUG
rnacentral:rRNA from 1 species